rnacentral:rRNA from 1 species
GUCCUCGGCCACACCACCCUGAACCCGCCAGAUCUCAUCUGAUCUUGGAAGCUAAGCGGGGUGGGGCCUGGCUAGUACUUGGAAGGGAGCCACUGUGCUUUGGACC